ensembl:lncRNA novel transcript, antisense to DUSP6
ACUGAAGCCACCUGCCAGAACGAGAAAAGCAAUCAUCUAACCUGAGAAGCCGUAGUAGUUUUCACAGCUUGUAAGAACCGCAGCCCGGCGCAAGAAACACCACAAGCAUCCUACGAACCCCCUACAUACAGAACCAUCUAUAAGAGAAACACACUUUAAAUGUGCACCAUCGGGAAUGGAACGAACGGGCCCGCCUCGCCAGGGAACCCUUAUUCGCUUGAAUCCGGAAAUAGACAAAAUGGCAACUUUUUGGAAUAUUUUGAGAGCUAAGAUGUGCCAAUUUGCAUCCCCAACAAUCUCUCCCGUCCUGCAAAUCUUAAUUCAAAAUCGAACGAUAGAAAACAGGGUGAUGGUGGAGGAUGUUCUGGCUAAGAAGGCGCAGAACCCGUUAGAAAGAAACCGCCGGUACCCGCAGCCGGAAGCGAGUGGAUUCUGAGCCGGCCCGGUUCUCUGGUGCGGAACGCGCGGUUCGCGGCCCCUACCUCGCCGGCUGCCGGUCCCUAGGCGGGCAGCGCGGCUCCGAAGCUCCAGCUGAGCGGAGCAGAGGUAUUUUCAAUCCACGCGCCCCGCCCGCAGCCCUGCGCCCCUAGCCCUGCCCCGCGCGCGGAGUUCCCUGGGCGCGUACCUUCCAGGUAGAACGCCCGGCAGCCCUCGUCCUUGAGCUUCUUGAGCAGCAGCCCGAGCACCGACUCGCCGCCCGUAUUCUCGUUCCAGUCGCUGCUGCUCUCGUCGUAGAGCACCACUGUGUCGGUGCCACAGCGCCGGGUGAAGCGGUCCCGGUCCUCGCCGCGCGUGAAGAGCGCGCGCACCGGCAGGUUACCCUUCUGCAGGCGCCGCAGCAUGAUGCCCGGGAUGGCCACGUUGAUGGCCGACUCGAUGUGCGACGACUCGUAUAGCUCCUGCGGCCGGCAGUCCAUCAGCAGCAGCCGCUCGUUGCCCAGCUCCAGCUGCUCGUUGAGCCACGCCACCGUCUUGCUGAUCGCCAUUUCCGACGCGAAGGGCACGGGUCUGAGCGUAUCUAUCAUGGGGGUCGAGCUGCGGGAGAGGGCGGGGUGCCUACCAGACGCCCCUCGGGGCAGGCAUAGGCCGAGCGCACCGCGCGCGAAGCUGCCGCUCUCGGAGCGGGGUUUAAUUCCGCCUCGCCUUACCCAAGCCGAGGCUAGCGGUUGGGGCAGACGAGACAGAAGUAAAGCCGGAGGUUCUCUCUGCACCCAGCUGCAGCCGCUGGCUCUUAGUGUCAAUGAAUCUCUCUCAAUGAAGCUGCCCAGAUAGUUUUUGUUCCUCCCCAGUGAAUGAAAUCCAAUUAAUUCGGACUCCGUGCUACUGAGAGGGGAGGAAAAAAAGUCUAGCGGCUUCUAAUCCCUCCCUCCAAGGCUGCACCUCAAAUCUACCCGGGCGUCUUUCUCCCCGGAUUAUUUAAGACUCGAUUUGCUAUCUCUUGGACUCAGCCUCGCACACCCCCUGCGCGAGGCAGCUCCUCAAUGGAUACAAACAGCGAGCGUCUCAAUGGAUACAUUCUCCGGGCCAGCCAAUGAGCGUGCUGCGGAAGGGGCUGUUGCCGUGGGGACGGGCCGGCUGGAACAGGUUGUGUUGAUGAAUUGUUAAUGAGUUUGUCAUUCACAAAAACGGAAAGGAAUUUCCGCUCCGGAUAAGCCCCAGUGCAAACAAGCUGCAACAGCGGGCUCGGCGGGAGGAAGGAGAAAGAAGGGGAGGCGGCAGCGGAGGAGGAGCAGGGCACAUAAACCAGGGCACUUCAGUUGUCUCAUGUUUCCUUCUGUUGAGAGUUCACACUUCGCGUCGGAACUUUUGCGCACCAAUGGCGCAAUUAGCAUGCACAAAAGCCCUUGUUCGCGACGCUUGCGUUCGCGAGCUAGCUUUAGGAAAACUUGUGCUGACUUUUCGUUCUUUGUAUUCCCUUCAAACUCAUUUGGACCCAAGUUCGCCUUAACCCUCCCCUCCCCCAACCCCCCUUCUUUAGGCGGUGUGUGGCAUUUGUUUGCCACUUUUAAAGGCCCAGCUCUGUUUGCUCUGAUGUUCUUUUAGCCGAGGCUGUGUUGGGGCUGGUGAACUGACUGGGCUUUAGUGACCGAUGAGGUGUUAAAUGCUAAUCCAACAUAUUUCGAAACAAACCAGGAUUUUGUUGAAACAUUUUAAAGCAAACAAACAAACGUCUGGUUGUGCAGAAAAUCAGAAGAAAACCUUUUUUCUUAAAAUAACAUUUUAUUUUCAUUAAAACAAUGUAGAGUGCAGAAACAAA